rnacentral:rRNA from 1 species
AUUGAACGCUGGCGGAAUGCUUUACACAUGCAAGUCGAACGGCAGCAUAGGUGCUUGCACCUGAUGGCGAGUGGCGAACGGGUGAGUAAUACAUCGGAACGUGCCCAGUCGUGGGGGAUAACGUAGCGAAAGUUACGCUAAUACCGCAUACGAUCUAAGGAUGAAAGCGGGGGACCGUAAGGCCUCGCGCGAUUGGAGCGGCCGAUGGCAGAUUAGGUAGUUGGUGAGGUAAAGGCUCACCAAGCCGACGAUCUGUAGCUGGUCUGAGAGGACGACCAGCCACACUGGGACUGAGACACGGCCCAGACUCCUACGGGAGGCAGCAGUGGGGAAUUUUGGACAAUGGACGCAAGUCUGAUCCAGCCAUUCCGCGUGCAGGACGAAGGCCUUCGGGUUGUAAACUGCUUUUGUACGGAACGAAAAAGCUCUUACUAAUACUAGGAGUCCAUGACGGUACCGUAAGAAUAAGCACCGGCUAACUACGUGCCAGCCGCCGCAGUAAGAC